rnacentral:tRNA from 1 species
GGACGCGUAGCUCAAUGGCAGAGCAGUGGCCUUUUAAGCCAACGGUUGCAGGUUCGACUCCUGUCGCGUCCA